rnacentral:rRNA from 1 species
GGGAGGCAGCAGUAAGGAAUAUUGGUCAAUGGACGCAAGUCUGAACCAGCCAUGCCGCGUGAAGGAUGACUGCCCUCUGGGUUGUAAACUUCUUUUAUCUGGGACGAAAAACGGGCUUUCUAGCUCACUUGACGGUACCAGAGGAAUAAGCACCGGCUAACUCCGUGCCAGCAGCCGCGGUAAUACGGAGGGUGCAAGCGUUAUCCGGAUUUACUGGGUAUAAAGGGUGCGUAGGUGGGUAGGUAAGUCAGUGGUGAAAUCUUCAAGCUUAACUUGGAAACUGCCAUUGAUACUAUUUAUCUUGAAUACUUUGGAGGUAAGCGGAAUAUGUCAUGUAGCGGUGAAAUGCUUAGAUAUGACAUAGAACACCAAUUGCGAAGGCAGCUUACUACACAGUUAUUGACACUGAGGCACGAAAGCGUGGGGAUCAAACAGGAUUAGAUACCCUGGU